AUACUUACCUGGCAGGGGAGAUAACAUGAUCACAAAGGUUUUGUUCCCAGAGUGAGGCUCAUCCUUUAUACUCCGGAUAUGCUGACCCUUACAAUUCCCCCAAAUGAGGGAAACUUGGGACUGCAUGAUUUAUGGUAGUGGAAAACUGCAUUUGCACUCUCCCU